rnacentral:rRNA from 1 species
AGUGAACGCUGGCGGUAGGCCUAACACAUGCAAGUCGAACGGCAGCACAGUAAGAGCUUGCUCUUACGGGUGGCGAGUGGCGGACGGGUGAGGAAUACAUCGGAAUCUACUUUUUCGUGGGGGAUAACGUAGGGAAACUUACGCUAAUACCGCAUACGACCUACGGGUGAAAGCAGGGGAUCUUCGGACCUUGCGCGAUUGAAUGAGCCGAUGUCGGAUUAGCUAGUUGGCGGGGUAAAGGCCCACCAAGGCGACGAUCCGUAGCUGGUCUGAGAGGAUGAUCAGCCACACUGGAACUGAGACACGGUCCAGACUCCUACGGGAGGCAGCAGUGGGGAAUAUUGGACAAUGGGCGCAAGCCUGAUCCAGCCAUACCGCGUGGGUGAAGAAGGCCUUCGGGUUGUAAAGCCCUUUUGUUGGGAAAGAAAUCCAGCCUGCUAAUACCUGGUUGGGAUGACGGUACCCAAAGAAUAAGCACCGGCUAACUUCGUG